AUUGAACGCUGGCGUCAGGCCUAACACAUGCAAGUCGAGCGAGCGGCGGACGGGUGAGUAAUGUAUGGGGACUGCCCGAUAGAGGGGGAUAACUACUGGAAACGGUGGCUAAUACCGCAUACUAUCGGAUAACCCAUAUGGGAUUAGCUAGUAGGUGGGGUAAAGGCUCACCUAGGCGACGAGCGCUAGCUGGUCUGAGAGGAUGAUCAGCCACACGGGGACUUAGACAAGGGCAAGACUCCUACGGAGGAAGCAGUGGGGAAUAGUGCAAAAUGGGCGCAAGUCUGAUGGAGCAAUGCCGCGUGUAUGAAGAAGGCCUUAGGGUUGUAAAGUACUUUUAGCGGGGAGGCGGUACCCGCAGAAGAAGCACCGGCUAACUCCGUGCCAGCAGCCGCGGUAAUAC
rnacentral:rRNA from 1 species